rnacentral:tRNA from 1 species
CCGUAGUUCAAUGGAUAGAGCAUCGGCCUCCGAAGCCGAAAAUAUGGGUUCAACUCCCGUCGGG